UACGUAGGGGGCAAGCGUUGUCCGGAUUUAUUGGGCGUAAAGAGCUCGUAGGCGGCUUGUCGCGUCGACUGUGAAAUCCCGCGGCUCAACUGCGGGUCUGCAGUCGAUACGGGCAGGCUAGAGUUCGGUAGGGGAGACUGGAAUUCCUGGUGUAGCGGUGAAAUGUGCAGAUAUCAGGAGGAACACCGGUGGCGAAGGCGGCAUCCUGGACCAACACUGACGCUGAGUGAGCGAAAGCCAGGGAGCAAACGGG
rnacentral:rRNA from 1 species